AUCACACACACACAUAUACACACACUUAAGCUUAGUUAUUGUAUUUCCACGAUAUAUAGGAGGCCAUUUCAUGUGAUAAGCAGCACUGCACAUGCAAAGGCCAAGAGUGAUUUCUUGCUUACAUUAAAGCCAUCGCACAACUCAGAAGUUGUCAGCUCUCACAUAAUGUGAAGCCACAAAGGCAGCCAGCUUGGCACUCCUGGAAAUUGGCAUGAGUGAGAGAGACAUAGCAAAAAAACUGAAGAUCUCCAAGACAGCCGUUCAUUACACCAAGAAAGAACAAGCCGAACAUGGUACUACCAAAUUGCUAGCUGGUCGUGGCAGGAAACGUCUUUCUACCGUCCAGAUGACUGUGCACUCGUCCGUUCCUGUGUCAGGAAUCUCCGUCAGACCUCUGGGGACCUUAAAAAUGAGUGGGCACUGUCAUGAAAUAUGACUAGUUCGGCAAGGACCACCGUUCCCUCUAAGCUGCGCGUGUGCACAAUUGCGCACUGCUGACCCGGUCUCCGCGCACAGAAAAUCUGCGCUGUGCACAAAAAAAAAAUCCAACCUAAAUUGUAAAUAAAAUGAACACGUAACAAUUCAUUCUGUGCUAUUUUUCAAUGUGAGUCAGUGAGUGACAGGUGACUGGCUGCUGCAGCCAAUGAUGCGAUUCACAUACGUAUUUACCAUAAACUGUAUAUAAUGGUAUUUACACAGCUAAUCAACGUCAGGCGUCCUUAUGUGCAGCCACCGUUAGAUAUGAAUGAGUAUGUAGGACACGCCCCUUUGAGCUGCGUGCUACAGCGAGGCUAAGCUAGUGGGGGCAAAGUUUCAGUGCAUUCCGUUGAUGUAGACGGCAUGAAAACGGAAACAAGUAUGCCGUCUCACUGUGCUGCAUACAGUUGCACACUGCCUCGUACGAUUGAGACAAGGAAACUUGGAAUGACUUUUCAUAGGUUUCCCAGAGACUAUGGGUUGAGGAGGAAUUGGAAGUUUGUCGGCUUAGACCUGGUGUCAUUCCAUCAGUGUUAAACUUCCCGGCUCAUCUUGGAAGAGUACGUGCCAGAAAGACCACGACCAAGCAGCCUUGAGAUCUUAGCCAGCGUCUCCCUGAGGUCCCUCUCUAUCUCCCCACACAUCCACCAACCACUGGAACAUAUCUCCAAAGUUCUGCCGGGCCAGCUCAGCUUCCCCGCAGAAGAAGUGCCGCCACCUGCCAGAUGAAGGAGCCUUUUGAGAGGCAGCUGGCAUCGUGAUUGGACUGUACUUUGGUCUGUUCCAAUCCAGCUUCAGCUCCAGAGACGGCAGGCGGGACGAAUCAACGGAGGCCGGGUGGACGAAGGCAUGCAGCUGAGUACAAUCCAGAAAACAACAGAGGAGGAGUACAGCGGCUCAGGGCCAGAACAACCAGAGUAGCAUCCGCCUUCCAGAGGGCAACAGAUCAAAAAGCUGAGAACCGGGAUGUGAACUGUCCUUGAUGAUGUUCUGAGCUCUGCUGAGGCACCAGGUGGAGUAGAUGUCCAUGAGGGAGGGGAGAGGACAGCCAACAAUUUACUGAUUUAUGACCAAAGAACUACAGACUCUUCACAACCUGCUCAAACUCUUGGUACAGGACCUCACCACAGGGGUCAAGAAGGUUGCUUUGUAGAACUGUUGCAGAAAACCUCACUAAACCACAUGGAGGGGCCUCAAGAUAGUCGUACAAAUGAAACCAUACAAAAACCAAACUAGCACAACCCAAACGCUAAAGUCUCCUGCAGCCUACCAGAGAACCUCUGAGAACAGAGAAUCAGAACAGGAACUCUUACCUUCUGGACAACCAACGUUGGUUCACAAACAAG
ensembl:lncRNA